ACCCUACUAUGCCUCGCCUUAACCAAGCAAUCAAAUUACUAUUUGCUCGCCAAAUAACUACGAGUAAAAACUUAAAAUUUAAAAGACUUGACGGUACUUCACACCAACCUAGAGGAGCCUGUCUAAUAACCGAUAAUCCACGAUUAACCCCACCCCUUAUGGCCCAACAGUCUAUAUACCGCCGUCGCCAGCUUACCUUGUGAAAGAAAAAAAGUAAGCUCAACAACAUCACGCUAACACGACAGGUCGAGGUGUAACUAAUGAAGGGGUAAAGAUGGGCUACAUUUCUUCAAAGAAGACAAACGGAUAAACUAUGAAACUAGAAACUGAAGGCGGAUUUAGCAGUAAGAUAAGAACACAAUACUUAACCGAAAUUAACGCAAUGAAGUGCGCACACACCGCCCGUCAUCCCUG
rnacentral:rRNA from 1 species